UCGAGUGCAAUCGAGGGUGUGAGAAUGCGCAACUGUGAGGAUCCCAAAUAAUAUCAGAAAAUCCUCCCACCAACCUCUCGGAAUCCUUCACGCCUUCCACUCCCUCACUGAGAGAAUGACCAGGACGUCUAGUCGCUCACAAAUCCUGCUCAAGCCAGCAGUAAGAAAAACUCGAAAGUCCUCUUAAUCUUUCGCUGCAACAAUUCGAAACAUCCAGCAACCUUAUGUCUCUUUUGAUGGCACAAAUAUCUACAUCGUGCAUCGGAAUUUUUUCUGAAAACGAGAUGUAGGACCAGAAUGAAAUGACGAGGGUAGUGAGCAUUAUAUAAAUGAGCAUUGAAGACGGUCAAGUGUCGCCGUAGCUCUCCAGACACAAAAGUUGAGUCUGCGCUUGAGAGGCAGUUUAGAUGGAUGAAGCAUGAAAGGGAUGAAUCAAUGUCACGGAUAUCACGGAUGUCACGGAUUUCCAUAGUAUAAUCAUAAGUACCGUUUUCCUGCGAAUGCGUAUUUAGAACCGUACUUAUGAUGUUGGCGAAGACGAUGGAAUGCGAGAUCAUAUUUCACCGAUAUCCGGAAAAGAUGAUGGAGGGUGCAGUUCGAUUGAUAGGGACGUAUUACGUGAACAAAUGGGCCAAUGAGUGGUUGAAAACGUUCAAGCGCAAGCCGCGCGAAGGCCUGCCCCUGCUUCUUUCGGCGCCACAACCUUCUCUGCUGGACGAAACACAGGGCUCAGAGAAUUUUUUGGAUGUGUUUGGGAACAUAUCAAGAGAGCUGCUGGAGCUAAUGCAUUACGUUAACAAGCAUCUCAAAUUUUGGCAAAUUAAAGCCCAGAGUGCAGAGCAAGAUAAAGUUCGGUUCAUGAUGUUGGAAAGGGGCCCAGUUGCCUUUGUUCGAGGAUUAAAGAAAGUUGUUCAAUCUUUCUUUUUGGAAUCGUCACUUACAAGUGGGCUACUAUCUGCUGCCUACUCCCGCAUCAAUGAAAGAGUGACUAUGCUGAACACUCUCCGUAAACGACUUGCCAUCAUCAUUGGCCAGGUUCAUCUUCAGGUGUCAAAGUUGGAAGAGAAAGUGGACACAGGACGGGAGAAUAGACGCAGGGGAGAAAGUCGACGUGUUCUCUCUCAGUGUGUAAUUGCUAUUCUCGUUUCGUUGAAUGGACUGGAAGGAGUUUACGACCUCCCACAGAGUGAUUAUCAUGGUCAUGGAGAUUCGAAUGAAUCGAGGACUAUUGUCCUCGAGUUUGACCGGAUGCCGGACGAUCUUAUGGGAGGAAUAAAUUGGACCGAUUCUGAACUCCAAGCUGCUAUUCAGUUGCUGCAGAGCAACGUAGUGAAGCUGAAAGAGUUUCUGUCUGAUCUAGUGCCUUAUUAUGAAAAGCCAAGGCGUUUGGUUAGGUAUUGGCUCCACUACACUGGUGGUGCGGUUGGACUUGCUAUGGCUUCUGUCUGGAUUGUACAGCACAGUCGGUUAGGAGGAAGUGAUGACCUUGGCCGAUGGAUCGAUAAGGCUCGUGAAGAUUCGUACUUGUUCUAUGAAAGGCGUUUGCACCAACCGUUAACGGCCAUCAAAAGCGAACUCUUUGACACUUUUCGCAAACGUCGCGAGAGUUCCGCACAGCUUGAAGAAGUGAAGCUCGCCUCAGAUUCUCUAAACAGGAUGGUCAAAGAAUUUGUGAUGCAAACAAGUGGUCUUGAAGUGGUAUCGGCUGCAUCGGAAGCGGAGAUGAUGAGAAUUGUGAUGAGCAGAUAUGAACAAGAAUUGGUCAACCCUGUCAAAAACCUUGUUAGUGGAGAGUUGGCAAGGGCGCUGCUGAUACAGGUUCAAAAGCUGAAACUUGAUGUAGAGAUGGCGAUGCUGGAUUUGAAUAAAAUUCUACGAGCAAAUGAGAUCAACUUUGCAAUUUUAACAUUUUUACCAGCUUUUGCUCUUUUUCUCAUUCUCGGUGAAUUGAUUCGUCGUCAAUUGAACAAUAAGAAAGGGGCAGAAGGUAGAGGUAGGACCGCCCAAAUGAUGCGUCGCAUGCUUAUGGUUGAAGUAGAGAAAGGAGUUAUGACCUGCCAAAUAAAAGACGAUGAGAAUCGAGGAGAUGAUGUAUCAGUUGAAUACGGGAUGCUGAUUUACAGCCUUGAUCAGUUGCAUAAAGGAGUACACAGAGCGGCAGAAAACAGUGGCGAAUGGCUUAGCUUGCGAAGGGAUAUCCUUGACUUAACAAAUCCGAGACUCCCAACGUUUUACAAGCUUGCGAUAGCAGAAAGAAUGGAGCGGGUCUACGAUUGCCUUGCGCCCAUGCCCAGUUGGACGUAAACCUGAGGGAAAUUAGUUUGGUUGCAAUUAUUUUGAAGAAAAUGGAGUUGAGUUCCCUAUGCCCGAGGAACCUGAGAUGGUGUUCACUUCACCACUAGCGGGAUUGGAGUAUCUAGACCCUAUUAUUUACUCUUAAUACAGCUCCAGGUUGGGAACCUGACUCGCCUGAUAUGUGUAUUUCAGCAGAGGAACAUGAGAACAAAUUUUUCACUGGAAUGUUCAUGAAAAUUUUGGAGAUCGCGUGUAAUGUACAAUUCUUGUAGCAAUGGCAUGCAGAGUGACGCAGAUCCGUAGUUUCCUCUGGAGCCUUAGAUCCUCGAAUAUUGUAUAAUCAUCUAUCUCUGGUAAACCUAGCUAUCUCGCUGAUUCACGUACGUUGCAAGUUCGUUGCAUUGAUUUCAGAAAAUACUAUUUCUUGUUUCCGUUUUCUUUCUCAA